GCUAGAGCUGCGGUGGGCCGGCUCCGGGGCCACGUGCGGACAACUGGGCUCCUGUCCUGCGAACCUGCCUGAGUCCGCAGACCCGACUGGCCCGGACCCUGUAUCCUUUUGCCAAGUCUCCCUCUUCUCUCCAGCCGGUUCAUGCAGUUCAUCCCUGUUAUGUACAUCCCAGUCCCUUUUGUCACGUCAGGCUCAAAAUGGUGAUUUGGCGGAAGACAGAACCAAGUUCAAGUCACUCAUCAAGUGACCAACGACAGGUGUUUAACAUUGUUGAGACUUAGGUUCCUGCUCUGUAAAACGAGACUGCUAAAUACCUACCAGGUGUUUUUGUACAUGGUUGAAUCCCCCCUCCCCCCCCCCCCCAAAAAUACCCAUGGGUUGUAUUUUUUUAUGGUUGUUGAAUUUCCUACCCUUUAGGAGCUCACAAUCAUCAUGCAAGGCCUGGUGUUAAGCUACUUUUUCUUUCUAGUCUCUUACUAGAUCGUAAACUGCUUGUAACAGGGAUCUGCCUGUGUGCCUUUUUAGUCUUCCAAUGGCACAAUCGCUUCACUUGGUCUGCUAAGGGUCAAUUUAACCUACAGAAACAGUAUUAGGGCAGAGUAUGUAAAAACCAUGGGAUUUACAGCACAGAAAACCUCUGCAGUUAGGUGGGUUUCUGUGCCAUGAUCCACAAGUGUGUUGCCACAGGGAGCGUACCGGAGAAACACCUUAAGACUGCUGUCAUGUACAAGCUCUGUGAGCUUGGGCAGAUCUUGAACUCCCUGGAGCCUUGCAAGAACAAUGAUUGUGUCCAGAAAGAUUACAGGACUUACCAGGUGCCAGGCACUUUUUGAUGCUCAUAUACAUAAUUUUUAAUGUUUUGUUUUUAGGGAGCGAGAGAGAGAAACAUCAAUUUGUUGUUCCACUUACUUGUGCAUUGAUUGGUUGAUUCUUAUGCGUGCCCUGAUCGAGAUCGAACCUGCAAUCUUGGCAUAACAGGACGAUGCUCCAACCAAUGGAGCCACCUGGCCAGGGCUGAAGCUCAUAUUAAUGUUAGGGACUCCUCUGGAAAUGCCCUGGGGGAUCUCCUCCACAGAUUCCUGGCUGGAGGCCCAUCUCCUCUGCAGUGACUCUGGAGGCACUCUCACCUGAUUCUUCCUCCGCGUCUUCCAACCACAGAUACUCGUAAGUUCUACUGCUAACGUGACGUCAGCCCUGAUGACCUUCAGACUCUCCAACCCUAACAUGCCAGCACACCAGCAUUUGCCUUACUUCAGAGCAUUCCUGCCAAAAGUGUUAACCCAAAAGACUCUGACUUCAUGUCUAGUUUACAGGAAAUGCAGGUGGGGGCAGAAGAACAGGUCACCACGAGGAAGCCACCAGCCAAUGGCAGAACAUGGGACCUUCUACCUGGCUAGGUCACUUUGAAAGUCAAAAGCCAUGGAAAACAUGGUGGGAACUUUCUAAUGACACUCAAGAACUACAAGGACCAAUGUCAUGUAUGAUCCUUGAUGAGAUUAUCAUUCAGAGGAAAGAAAUCCUGAAGACAUUUUGGGGAAAUUUGAAUAUGGAAAGAACAUUAAACAUUAGAGCGGUAGUGUUACUGGGUGGUAUUGUGAUUAUGUAAGAGAUUGUCCUCAUGUUUUGGGGAAGUUUGCUAAGUAUUUGGAUGAGAAGUAUCACAAUGUCCCUAAUUCACUUUGAAGUGCUUCAGAAAAAAAAUCUCUUAAACGAAUAUGGCAAAAUGUUAACAUAUAUUGAA